rnacentral:rRNA from 1 species
GACGAACGCUGGCGGCGUGCUUAACACAUGCAAGUCGAGCGGUAAGGCCCUUUCGGGGUACGACGAGCGGCGAACGGGUGAGUAACACGUGGGUGACCUGCCCUCAGCUCUGGGAUAAGCCUGGGAAACGUGGGUCUAAUACUGGAUAUGACUCCACGGUGCAUGUCGUGGGGUGGAAAGCCUUGUGCGGCUGAGGAUGGGCCCGCGGCCUAUCAGCUUGUUGGUGGGGUGA